rnacentral:rRNA from 1 species
UACGGGGGGAGCAAGCGUUGUUCGGAUUUACUGGGCGUAAAGGGCGCGUAGGCGGCGUGACAAGUCACUUGUGAAAUCUCCGGGCUUAACCCGGAGCGGCCAAGUGAUACUGUCGUGCUAGAGUGCGGAAGGGGCUACUGGAAUUCUCGGUGUAGCGGUGAAAUGCGCAGAUAUCAGGAGGAACACCGGUGGCGAAGGCGGCUCUCUGGGCCUUACCUGACGCUGAGGAGCGAAAGCGUGGGUAGCGAACAGG